AAAUGCAUUAGCUACAGAAUGCAACAGAGGCAGUACAAAGAAGUGGAAAGAGACCUAUGGUAGGAAAUGAGGAAAAGGAGAGAAUAUGCUAAGGCUUGAAGAAAGAAGGGAGAAAAAGAAGGGAGGCUCUGUGGGCCUCGUUCCCACAGUGGAUGCAAUAAAACAGGAUCCAAGGCAUUCAAAUUAUUUAUUGACAGAAGAAGCAGAAUGGCGAACACUAAACUUCUUGUUGCUUUCUGGACAUUCUUUGAGCAGGCACUGAGUAAAUCAGUCCACUUAUUGGAAAGGAAAGUAAGUCCCUAGAAAGAAAUGGCAUCAGAUUGCCCACAGCCUUGCUGGCAAGGUGAGGACAAAUUACUGUGUUGAGAUUCUUUAAAAAACCCCAGUGAAACAGACAAGGAUUCCUAUUUCUGCACCUUCAAUACUGUUAAUUUGUAACUGACAGGAUCUGACAAGCAUCCCACUGGAAAAAAUUACCUCCACUUGUGCACUUCACCUCCCAUGAGAGUAUCAAGGUAAAAUGGCACUCAGAUCUUUAUGCCUGAAGGUACAAUCAGAUGAAGUGGAUUCAUUCAAGAGACAUCAUGGGGAAGAAAUCAACACUUUGCCCCAUUAGCCUUAGGUCAUUAUAUGGCAUGGAAUUCACUGAAUUCCCCAAUAGUCUUGAUCAAGCAAAGUUGAACAAGUCUACAGUUGAGCAACCUUGUUCCUUGAAAUUCUUUCUGGACAGAGUUUUUUGUUACAUGAACUGAAAUCAGUGAAAUUUGGUAACAGAAAUACAUGAAGAUGCUGAGGGUUUUUUUUUUCCCAAGAACUUCCACAAUUCAUUUCUACUGAAUAAAAGAACAGGGGAAAA